rnacentral:rRNA from 1 species
AAAGUGAAUUGUACUAGAAGUCUGCAGGCUAACCGGCUUUCGAAAGAGAGCUGGGGGCAGCGGCCCAAGGUAUGAUCCAUGAUUGGGGUG